CAUGACCAGUGGAAGCUUCGAAGAGCUAUUGCCAAUUUCCACCCUCUCUCUGGAAACUGUCAUUAGGGUUAGGGAAACUGUCAUGAGAUCUGCAUAUUUUAGAUAGAGGCUGCUUGCCUUAUUUGGGCACCUAAUGAAAAAGACAUGGAGGCCAGGUGCGGUGGCUCAUGUCUGUAAUCCCAGCACUUUGGGAGGCCAAGGCGAGUGGAUCACCUGAGGUCAGGAGUUCGAGACCAGCCUGACCAACAUGGCAAAACCCCGUCUGUACUAAAAGUGCAAACACAAAGGGAACUGCGUGGCUUGUUUCUACCUGAACAUUGUCAAGUGAUUUCAUCCUUUGAAACACAGUUGUGAAGUGUGUCCAGCAGUCUGAGAACAAGAAGAAGAAGAAAAUCUAAUCCUUCAGGGUGUCUGUGUGCCAGCCCUGCUCUCAGCACUUCCCAUGUGGAACUCCUUUACUUCUCCUAACAACUCCAUGACAUGGGUUAGACUGUGAUUGUUCCCAUAUUGUUGGUAGGGAAACUGAGGCAUGCAGGUGUUACAGAGCUCUCUCAAGUGGCAAGCUUUCUGGGUGGUUACAGAGUGGCAGAGCUGGGGUAUCCCAUGAUGUCACCACACUGCUAUAUGGAAAAGAACAUUAAUCGAGCACCUACGUGCUUGAUUCUCUUAAUUCUGUGACUGAACUCUCAAAACACCCUGGGUAAGCACUAUCAUCUCCUAUUUUCACAAGUGAAAAAACUGGGAUUCAAAAAAAUUAAGUGACUUACCAAAUAUUACAGAGCUAGUAAGCCAAGACUUGAACACUGAGAUGGAAUUCUACCUUUUAAGGUGGCUAAGCAACAGAAGGAUGUUCCUUUCCCAAGGGGAGCACUGCGUGUUUUGAAAUAUACAAAUAGUGGGAAACGAAAUCUUUGUUCUGGAUGCAGUUAUAAUUUGGAAAGCGAGGAAAUAAAUUAUAACAAGGGGAAAAAACAGGGUUGCCGUGAGGAGUAAAUGAGCUGUUGCAUGGGAAGCACUUAGCAUGGGGCCUGAUAAAUAGUAAGCCCUUGGUAAUAAUUACAUCUUCCGUGAUGCUAGACACAGAGGGAUUGAAAUGCAUAACAAUAGAGAUGAAACACGAAGAGUGAUAAAUGAAGAUUGAGUGUGCACACCUUCUGGAGGAGCCCUGAUUGAGUAUUUUAAAAUACUACUAAAGUCAUGCCGUGUGACUUCUGAAGCUAGCUCCUAAGAAGUCCUUGCAGCUUCUGCCUGCGACUCUUAGAACACUUGCUUUGAAGGAUGCCAGAUGCUGUCUUAAAAGUCUGAGCACUCUGAAACCAUCAUGCUGUGAGGAAGCCCAAGCUAACCACAUGGGCAAAAAAGAUGCCCUCUGACUGCCACCAUUUGAGACACUCUAAUUAAGAACUGCCUCAUUGAGCCCAUGAGGCCCUGUGAAUGAUAAUAAUAAAUUGUUUUUAACCACU
rnacentral:lncRNA from 1 species